rfam:Anopheles christyi strain ACHKN1017 cont1.1386, whole genome shotgun sequence.
GUGUCAUUUGAAAGGAGAGCAGGUUAGCACUCCCCUUGACAAGGAUGGAUCACAUAUUCUGAGAUCAGUGGGCACCAGACAAAAGCUGAUCUCGGCCAUUUUUUUUU